GGCUCUGCAAAACCCGAAGGCGAAAUGAAAGUGAAGGUUCCUCGAGGGGAGGGGGCGGGUGUAAAAGCUCGAUCAAAACUCCCCCCCUCUUGGAUGGCCAAGGCGGGAUCCCCGAAGUUGGUCGGUACAAAAAUCUGAAAAGUUGCUAACGCGCUCAAACAGGCCGCCGACCGAUAAAAAAAACUUCUGCAAACCGGGCGUAUGAAAGAAACCCGGGGGGCGCACCGCCGGCCCGUCUCGACUGUGCGUUUGAAAAACGCGGGAUCGCGGCGCAGUUUGUGCACGUUUCGUUUUACACGUGGCGGCCACUAGCUGGUCGUGCGUGUUAUUGCGGGCGUGUGCAUCUGUGUUUUUCCGCAACCCGGUCCGUUUCAUCGCAAACCAGUGAGGCGGAGCAAGAGCACACACGUUGGGACCCGAAAGAUGGUGAACUAUGCCCGGGCAGGACGAAGCCAGAGGAAACUCUGGUGGAGGUCCGUAGCGAUUCUGACGUGCAAAUCGAUCGUCGGACCUGGGUAUAGGG
rnacentral:rRNA from 1 species